rnacentral:rRNA from 1 species
GAUGAACGCUGGCGGCGUGCCUAAUUCCCCCCCCCCCCCCCCCCCCCCCCCCAGCUUGCUCGUCUGACGUUAGCGGCGGACGGGUGAGUAACACGUGGAUAACCUACCUAUAAGACUGGGAUAACUUCGGGAAACCGGAGCUAAUACCGGAUAAUAUAUUGAACCGCAUGGUUCAAUAGUGAAAGACGGUUUUGCUGUCACUUAUAGAUGGAUCCGCGCCGCAUUAGCUAGUUGGUAAGGUAACGGCUUACCAAGGCGACGAUGCGUAGCCGACCUGAGAGGGUGAUCGGCCACACUGGAACUGAGACACGGUCCAGACUCCUACGGGAGGCAGCAGUAGGGAAUCUUCCGCAAUGGGCGAAAGCCUGACGGAGCAACGCCGCGUGAGUGAUGAAGGUCUUCGGAUCGUAAAACUCUGUUAUUAGGGAAGAACAAAUGUGUAAGUAACUAUGCACGUCUUGACGGUACCUAAUCAGAAAGCCACGGCUAACUACGUG